CGGGGAAUAUUGGACAAUGGGGGAAACCCUGAUCCAGCAAUGCCGCGUGAGUGAAGAAGGCCUUAGGGUUGUAAAGCUCUUUCGCCCGCGAAGAUAAUGACGGUAGCGGGAGAAGAAGCCCCGGCUAACUCCGUGCCAGCCGCCGCGGUAAUACGGAGGGGGCUAGCGUUGUUCGGAAUUACUGGGCGUAAAGCGUACGUAGGCGGAUGCGCAAGUUGGGGGUGAAAUCCCGGGGCUUAACCUCGGAAUUGCCCUCAAAACUGCACGUCUUGAGACCGAGAGAGGUAAGGGGAAUUACUAGUGUAGAGGUGAAAGUCGUAGAUAUUAGGAAGAACACCAGUGGCGAAGGCGCCUUACUGGCUCGGUACUGACGCUGAGGUACGAAAGCGUGGGGA
rnacentral:rRNA from 1 species